AGAGUUUGAUCCUGGCUCAGGACGAACGCUGGCGGCACGCUUAACACAUGCAAGUCGAACGAGAGAAGAGAAGCUUGCUUUUCUGAUCUAGUGGCGGACGGGUGAGUAACACGUGAGCAAUCUGCCUUUCAGAGGGGGAUACCGAUUGGAAACGAUCGUUAAUACCGCAUAACAUAAUUGAACCGCAUGAUUUGAUUAUCAAAGAUUUAUCGCUGAAAGAUGAGCUCGCGUCUGAUUAGCUAGUUGGUAAGGUAACGGCUUACCAAGGCGACGAUCAGUAGCCGGACUGAGAGGUUGAUCGGCCACAUUGGGACUGAGACACGGCCCAGACUCCUACGGGAGGCAGCAGUGGGGAAUAUUGCACAAUGGAGGAAACUCUGAUGCAGCGAUGCCGCGUGAGGGAAGAAGGUUUUAGGAUUGUAAACCUCUGUCUUUGGGGACGAAAAAUGACGGUACCCAAGGAGGAAGCUCCGGCUAACUACGUGCCAGCAGCCGCGGUAAUACGUAGGGAGCGAGCGUUGUCCGGAAUUACUGGGUGUAAAGGGAGCGUAGGCGGGAUCGCAAGUCAGAUGUGAAAACUAUGGGCUUAACCCAUAAACUGCAUUUGAAACUGUGGUUCUUGAGUGAAGUAGAGGUAAGCGGAAUUCCUAGUGUAGCGGUGAAAUGCGUAGAUAUUAGGAGGAACAUCAGUGGCGAAGGCGGCUUACUGGGCUUUAACUGACGCUGAGGCUCGAAAGCGUGGGGAGCAAACAGGAUUAGAUACCCUGGUAGUCCACGCCGUAAACG
rnacentral:rRNA from 1 species